UUGGAGGGCAAGUCUGGUGCCAGCAGCCGCGGUAAUUCCAGCUCCAAUAGCGUAUAUUAAAGUUGUUGCAGUUAAAAAGCUCGUAGUUGAAUUUCGGGAUUAGUACGUUGGUCGUGCCUUCGGUACGUACUGGUGUUACUGAUUCCUACCUUCUGACGAACCAUCAUGUCAUUAAUUUGGUGUGGUGGGGAAUCAGGACUGUUACUUUGAAAAAAUUAGAGUGUUUAAAGCAGGCUCGCGCUUGAAUACAUUAGCAUGGAAUAAUGAAAUAGGACGUUGACCCUAUUUUGUUGGUUUCUAGGAUUGACGUAAUGAUUAAUAGGGAUAGUUGGGGGCAUUAAUAUUCAAUUGUCAGAGGUGAAGUUCUUGGAUUUAUUGAAGACUAACUACUGCGAAAGCAUUUGCCAAGGAUGUUUUCAUUAAUCAAGAACGAAAGUUAGGGGAUCGAAGACGAUCAGAUACCGUCGUAGUCUUAACCAUAAACUAUGCCGACUGGGGAUCGGAUGAUGUUAUUUUUAAUGACUCAUUCGGCGCCUUACGGGAAAC
rnacentral:rRNA from 1 species